AAUGGGGGCAACCCUGAUCUAGCCAUGCCGCGUGUGUGAUGAAGGCCCUAGGGUCGUAAAGCACUUUCGCCAGAGAUGAUAAUGACAGUAUCUGGUAAAGAAACCCCGGCUAACUCCGUGCCAGCAGCCGCGGUAAUACGGAGGGGGUUAGCGUUGUUCGGAAUUACUGGGCGUAAAGCGCACGUAGGCGGAUUAGUAAGUUAGAGGUGAAAUCCCAGGGCUCAACCCUGGAACUGCCUUUAAUACUGCUAGUCUUGAGUUCGAGAGAGGUAAGUGGAAUUCCGAGUGUAGAGGUGAAAUUCGUAGAUAUUCGGAGGAACACCAGUGGCGAAGGCGGCUUACUGGCUCGAUACUGACGCUGAGGUGCGAAAGUGUGGGGAGCAAACAGGAUU
rnacentral:rRNA from 1 species